rnacentral:tRNA from 1 species
GGCUUUAUAGUCAAUGUAUGAUAUUAGACUGCAAUUCUAAAGUAGUAAUUUUACUAAAGCUU